rnacentral:rRNA from 1 species
GCGAACGCUGGCGGCAGGCUUAACACAUGCCAGUCGAACGGGCACUUCGGUGCUAGUGGCCGACGGGUGAGUAACACGUGGGAACGUACCUUUCGGUUCGGAAUAAUCCAGGGAAACUUGGACUAAUACCGGAUACGCCCUUCGGGGGAAAGAUUCAUCGCCGAUAGAUCGGCCCGCGUCUGAUUAGCUAGUUGGUGAGGUAAUGGCUCACCAAGGCGACGAUCAGUAGCUGGUCUGAGAGGAUGAUCAGCCACAUUGGGACUGAGACACGGCCCAAACUCCUACGGGAGGCAGCAGUGGGGAAUAUUGGACAAUGGGCGCAAGCCUGAUCCAGCCAUGCCGCGUGAGUGAUGAAGGCCUUAGGGUUGUAAAGCUCUUUUGUCCGGGAAGAUAAUGACUGUACCGGAAGAAUAAGCCCCGGCUAACUUCGUG